GUUGGGGUGCCCGAAGUAGGGGCAGCCGGCGGCGUGGACCUUGGUCUUCCCGAACUGGUCGAGGUACUUGAGGAACUCGAUCACGUGGGCCCCACUGCACCGUGCCAGCGUCAGCGGCGGCUUGUGGUUCUUGAGGUACUGCAGGAAGGUGUUCCAGUCCCGCCGCUUCUGCGACUCGUAGCGGCUCGGCGGGGCUGGAGACGAUGAGGCCUCGGCUGCUGCUGCUGGAACAACGGCACCACCAGCAGCCGCGGCUAUCGACCCGGUUGCUGCCGAUGAUGGGCCCUCUCCUCCGCUGGUAUUCGGGUCGGGUGGUCCGGUUCCCCCUGAAGCUGAAUCCAUUGUCUCUUUGUUUU
rnacentral:lncRNA from 1 species